rnacentral:rRNA from 1 species
UACAGAGGUCUCGAGCGUUGUUCGGAUUCAUUGGGCGUAAAGGGUGCGUAGGUGGCGCUGUAAGUCGGGUGUGAAAUCCUGGGGCUUAACCCCGGAACUGCAUUCGAUACUGCAGUGCUUGAGGACUGGAGAGGAGACUGGAAUUCAUGGUGUAGCAGUGAAAUGCGUAGAGAUCAUGAGGAAGACCAGUGGCGAAGGCGGGUCUCUGGACAGUUCCUGACACUGAGGCGCGAAGGCCAGGGGAGCAAAACGGG